rnacentral:lncRNA from 1 species
UGCAGCUGUUGGAGGAGGACUUGGUGGUGCUAAGGAAUGGAGUACUGCAAGGACGGACGCCGCUUCCGUUGAACUCAGGUGAGCUUGCGAGUCCGCGACGGCCUUGGUGAUUUUACUAUUACUGCUACUCUAUUAGUCAUGGAAUUCGGGAGAGCUUGGGUUCGAAUUUUAUUUUCUGGGAUUUUUAUCGGGGUGUAUGCAACUGUAUAACUGUAAAUUGGCUUGCCCCUGGGUGUUCUUGGUUGGUGAUUCGGCAAUGAUUUGAAGCGGUCUGGCUUAUGAGCCGGUGGUUAGGUGGAGUCUGGUUAUUAUAGUUUCGGUACAGGAGGGGGAAAGGUGGCACAAAUCUGGGGGCAGGGCAUGUUUCUGCCUGAUUGAUCCAAUCAUUUUUUUCUUCUGGUAUCAAUCAAUCAUGCCAGCAUCUGAAACGGACUAUCAAAUCUGAAUUAGCACUGUUUUUUAUAUAUAAUGAUACCAUACAGCUCGAGAUGAACAUAUGCUUGACUGAAUAGCUGUUCAUACAUCUGGAGGUGUUACUAUGAGUACAAUUACCAUUCAGAAAGAAAAGAACUAUGAGUAAAAUGCAGAGAACGCACUUCCAGACUAUCAAUCAUGCAUGCCCAUAUCAUUUGCUUUUCUUAAUGUUUCUCAGUUUAACUUACUAGUCUCUUGUCUAUGUAUUUUUUGCUGCCAGAAGGGACCCAAAUAGGUUGCAACUGGGAGUAAAAUAUGUGUCUAAACUGAUCGUCUGGUGCGAAAAUUGACGACCAAGAUCCAGUUAUGUGUAUUGCAGGACAACACCUUUCAUUAGAUACACUUUGAUGCUAUUUCUAGCAUGAAUUUCUAUUUCAGACUUAAAACUAAAAUUCUGAACAAGUAAAAUCGCUCUUGUUCCUUAUUUUUUUAGGGCGGUUCCUCUCGUUUUACUGGUUCGUCCGCUCCUUCAUGAUUGAUGUACUGGUUCUAGCCCCUCCUUCGUGAUAGACUCGGUUAACUCUUUGUUAGCCUUGUGGGUCAUAAUUCUUUCUCUCCAGACGCAUAUACUGCCUGAUGUAUUGCUCAUGCUCAUUCUGUACCGAGAUAGUCCUAAUAUCCAUAGGGUUGUAGAUUGAUUUCCCCUGAAAAAGCUAUGCUUCUUUCCUUGGAUGAUAAGCAUGUUCGGUAGCUAUGUGGAAUUCUUAAGAUAAACGGUCUUUACUUUCUUUUGGUGCAUCUGCGUGCACAUAAUAGUCUGUUAGUUUCUCUUUAUAUAAUGAAAAAAAUAUGUUGUUGUAGCUUGUUUAUUAUUAUCUAUCAUUUGUAGAUUGAUUUUUAGGCCACCGGUACUUGUAUGUAUAAUUUCUAGUCUCUUGAAUGAAUAAUUUUUCUUUAUGUGUCAUGCGUCUUGUGUUACUACAUACAUCUGUCGUGAAGUACAUGGUUCCGGAACUAUGGUAACCCAUAGUUUGCUCUACUCGUGAUAGUAGGAUGAUGGAAGCAUCACUAUUGAAUGUAGUUCAUGUUUCUUCAUAUAAUCAUCAUUUACUAGAGUUUCUCUUCUUCUUGCUACUGCUUGGUUUUUGACGCCACUAGCUUGUACUAGAACGCAAACACAUCAUAUUGUUUUCAUCAGACUAGUGUACCUUGAGCAUGCAAAGUAAACACAUGCUACUCCACUUGUCUAUUUGUACAUAAACUUUUGUUUAAAUAAACCGAGCUAAUAAACCAAACGGUGCGAACACAUUCAGUUCUGAAAUUUGUCUACUCCACUUGUUUGAUUGUACUGAAACCUUUGUUUGCAUGUUUCUAAAAUACAGAGAAGAACACCCUGUGUUCUGGUAAAAUUUCCUAUGAUAUGAAAUUCCAUGAUGUGUGUGUUGUUUCAGUUUCUGUAGCUACAACAAAGUCCCAGUUUACUCUGUACUUGCUUUUGAUGAUUGCUGGCUAAAUUUACAGUUGAAAUAAUAGUAGCCAAGGAGUAGAUACAAGACGUAUUUACCAUAUUUUGCAUGGAAUGUUAAAAAUCAGUUUUGUUGUGGUUUCUUGUUCUGUGAGUCAAAUUGCAUAAGAUGGGAGUAUCACAACAUGCAUAUACUGAAGAUGGGAGUAUCACAACCUGAAUGUGCAGCUUAUGUAGUUUCUGUAUUUUUGUUAAAGCAUGGAGUAGCUUCUAUAGUUUCUGUAUUUUUGUUAAAGCAUGGAGUAGCUUCUAUAGCUUCCUCACAAGUUAAUGCUUCGCUCGUCCGGGUGUGUGAUAAUGCCAUUUGUCUUGUGCAAUCAGAUUACAUUUCUGUUUGUUAUGGUAAUAUAAAUAUUCAUCCUGUCAAAAUUUUCACAGUGCGUGUCUUUCAUUUCUUUAAUUUGAUUGUUUCCCUUGUAUUCAAUAUGCUUCUAGUGGCUGAUCCUUCCAUUUUUGUUGUGGCAUCUUUAUUUUCACAGGUGUUGUGUGUUCUGGAAGAUGGAAGAGGAAGAAAUUGUUGAACUAAAUUUUCUGUAUUCUGUUUUGUUGUACGUAUCAUUUGAUAGUUUUGUAUAGGAACAAGUGAUACUAUUUUGUAGGGCUUUAUGGCCUGUGAUGUAAACAUAUUUAGUGCUGAAAUAUGAAAUUAUUUGCAAAAUUUGUCAAAAAGGUGGAUCAUAUGUAUGAAUAUGUGAAUGGGCUGAAAAGAGUACUGGACCAACUCCAGGAUUG